rnacentral:SRP_RNA from 1 species
GCUGGGCAUGGUUGUGCAUGCCUGUAAUCCCAGCUACUUGGGAGGCUGAGGCAGGAGAAUCACUUGAACCCAGGAGGCGGAAGUUGCAGUGAGCUGAGAUCAUGCCACUGCUCUCCAGCCUGGGCAACAGAGUGAGACCCCGUCUCAA